ensembl:lncRNA
GGCGGACGUUGCUUUUCUAUUGCGGUUCAUGGCUUUGCGGACCUACAUCAACAUCCGAACACGGCGGAUCAAACAUGUUCGCGCGGCUCGCGCUUGUGUUGUUAGCUCGACUAGCUGCUAUCGAAAAAUGGCGGAUCACAAAGUUUCUCUCGUUUCGUUGGUCACGGUAACCCCGCCCCCAGCCGCUGACGUAAGCGGUUCUUACUUCUAGACCAGCAAUGAUAUGAUGCUACUUAAGAACCACUUUUACUGGUUCGGAGCUGGUGCUUUGGUGGUGGAAAACCAAAGAACCGUUGUUGCCCCUUUUCCACCAAGGCAGAACUGGUGCUAGUUCGGAGCCAGAGCCUAGUUUCAAAUCGGUUCUUUGGUUUGGGGUUCGGGUGUAGACGGUGGAGAUAGGACUCAAAAGGAGAUUUUCAAACAAAAAGACUUUAAUAGUCACCAGAUCCAAAAUCUAACUCAAAAAUGCCAAGGGCAAAAACGCAGACAAGGACCAGGAACAAGACACAACCUCCCACAUUCAACAAUUACGUCCAACAAUGACGCGACCAGAGACAAGAGACAGGACAGGACAGGACAAGGCAUACAGAUGGACACAUGCAGAGGCACACGCAAGGUUACACACACGCAACCCUUCCCUCACACACACACUCAGAGAGAAUGGUCUCCUUGGCUCCCCAGGUACUUUGUGGCUUGAAUGCCUCCAGGCAGAACACAUACUGUCGACCCAGCAACACACUCACACGCACGCACACACACACACACAC